AAUAAGAUCAUUAUUCGGUUUUUUGAUACAAUGUUUUGACUCUUUAUCUUAUUUAAAUUUUUUUAUUAAUAUUUUUAUUCUUAUUAGAUGAUAAAACAUAAAUAGUACUUUAUGCGUGACUAAUUUUUUUAAGUUUUUAAACAAAUUUCUCAUAUAAGACGAAUGGUCAAAUGUUGGACACGGAAGAACGUAAAUAAAGUUAUU
rnacentral:pre_miRNA from 1 species